GAUGAACGCUGGCGGCGUGCCUAAUACAUGCAAGUCGAGCGAACAGAUAAGGAGCUUGCUCCUUUGACGUUAGCGGCGGACGGGUGAGUAACACGUGGGUAACCUACCUAUAAGACUGGGAUAACUUCGGGAAAUCGGAGCUAAUACCGGAUAACAUUUGGAACCGCAUGGUUCUAAAGUGAAAGAUGGUUUUGCUAUCACUUAUAGAUGGACCCGCGCCGUAUUAGCUAGUUGGUAAGGUAACGGCUUACCAAGGCAACGAUACGUAGCCGACCUGAGAGGGUGAUCGGCCACACUGGAACUGAGACACGGUCCAGACUCCUACGGGAGGCAGCAGUAGGGAAUCUUCCGCAAUGGGCGAAAGCCUGACGGAGCAACGCCGCGUGAGUGAUGAAGGGUUUCGGCUCGUAAAACUCUGUUAUUAGGGAAGAACAAACGUGUAAGUAACUGUGCACGUCUUGACGGUACCUAAUCAGAAAGCCACGGCUAACUACGUG
rnacentral:rRNA from 1 species